rnacentral:rRNA from 1 species
GCGAAACCUUUACACUGCACGAGAGUGCGAUAAGGGGACUCCAAGUGCGAGGGCAUAUAGUCCUCGCUUUUCACCACCGUAAGGAGGUGGUAGAAUAAGUGCUGGGCAAGACCGGUGCCAGCCGCCGCGGUAAUACCGGCAGCACAAAGUGAUGACCGCUAUUAUUGGGCCUAAAGCGUCCGUAGCUGGCCUCACAAGUCCAUCGGGAAAUCCGCGCGCUCAACGCGCGGGCGUCCGGUGGAAACUGUGUGGCUUGGGACCGGAAGAUCCAGAGGGUACGUCCGGGGUAGGAGUGAAAUCCCGUAAUCCUGGACGGACCACCGGUGGCGAAAGCGCUCUGGAAAGACGGAUCCGACGGUGAGGGACGAAAGCUUGGGUCACGAACCGGAUUAGAUACCCGGGUAGUCCAAGCUGUAAACGAUGUCUGCUAGGUGUGACACAGGCUACGAGCCUGUGUUGUGCCGUAGGGAAGCCGUGAAGCAGACCGCCUGGGAAGUACGUCCGCAAGGAUGAAACUUAAAGGAAUUGGCGGGGGAGCACUACAACCGGAGGAGCCUGCGGUUUAAUUGGACUCAACGCCG